UGGAGUUUUUGGGGCCGAUGCCGAUACCGAUUAUUAGGGGGGGGAAUUCCAUUACCGAUUAAUCCCGAUUUUUUAAAUUUUUUUAUGAAGUUAUAACACGUAUAUAUAUCGGUGCCUCAGCGUCUUAACUCACGUUACUCAUUUCCGGUCCGGUCUCAUCUGGAGACAUGCAGCUGCCUCAGUAAGAGAAGUAGCUCGAUCACAUAAUGUGUAGUUGUUUAUUCUGCGAUUACUGGCACGGCUAACAGUGCAGCAAGGCUAAUAGCAGGUGGCUAACUCUAACUUUAGCUUGCUUAUUACAUGGUGCUUCACCGUUAACUCAGCGUGACCGAGACCAGCACAGCGGGGAACAUUGUGAAGUGGGUUGAACUGAAACUUGUUAAUAAUAAUAAUAAUAAUAAUAGAUUUUAUUUGUAACGCACUUUACAUUUAAAAACAAAUCUCAAGUGCACAACUUGUUGACUUAUUGUGUAUUUCACAAAUUUACCAUUGAGGCGGACCACUCUCCUCCGUGCGUCCUGGCAACUGCCUGCCUUAGAUCCGCCACCCUACUGUUCUGUGAGGUAGUUAAUGGAUCAAGAUUGUCAUGGGGUCACUGCGCCAUCUACAGGAUAAGUUGGGGAACUUUUCAAAUGGCGGAGCAUUUUCCAAGUGAAACCGAAUCUUUUUCUUCGCAUUUUAUUUCUGAGAAUACCGGCGAAAAUCAGCGACUGUUGGCCAAUUACCGAUUAGUCUCAAACGGGCCGGUUUAAUCGACUCACCGAGGCCCUACUUAUAAACCUUUAAAUCGGAGGCUAUCCAGAUUUAUAGGUAAGUGAGAAAACUGACUCAUAGUAUUAAAACAUAUAAAAGAUAAUCUUUAAAUAAGAAAUUCUUAUAUUUCAUAAGGUGUAUGUAUUAGCAACCAAAAAAAAAUCUAGAUAUGUAAUACAUAAAUAAAGAACAAAUGUAGACUGACUUGCUUUACCACAGGUAUCAUCAUGGCACUUUCAGUCACGUUUGCACUACAGUUUUAAGAAAGCAGUAUCCUGAAGAUCAAUAACUUGUGUAAAUCUGCUUGUUUGGAGGAUGUUGUUACCCUUAAGCUCAGGAUCACUAUCUUUGAAAGCAUAAAUUCAUGUUAUGAAAAAAGGUUCAAGUCAUGUCCAAGCUCCCUGGCCUCUGAGGUACCAAUAAAAGAUUCACUACUCAGUACCUCUACCCUAACAGGCACAGCAUCAUGAAAUUUUCACGAUGGGUGCCCCGCUGUAGCAAACCGGAUGAGGAGAGGUUCCUUGACAGGCACCGUGUCACAGCAGGAAUAUUUUUACGUCAUAUUUAGGGCAGUGUGACCUGACGUAAUCCACACUGCAUAAUUCAGAACAUGAAGACAAGCAAAACAGCCUACAACACAAGAAGCUGUACUUGGUUUAUAAAUUUGUAAUGACUCUCCUUUCAAAUCUUAAUGGAGUUCUCACUUCAGCAGUGAAGAAGGCUUCUUCCAUCUGUGUGCUAGUGUGUGUGUGUGUGUGUGUAUUUCUGUUUGUGUGUGGGUGUGGAGAUGUGGGCAUCAUGCAGGAGUCACCAGGGAAGUUUAUUUUACCCUGAACGCAGCCUGAAUGUCACCCCUUUGAGGAUCAAAGACAUUUUUGCUGCUACUGAUGGGACUGUAAACAUGCUGCUAAUGGGAUAUUGGAGUGGCUACCUGGUGUGUUGUGGGCUUGAAAGCCCAAGUGUACUUGUUGGUUCGCAGCAAAUUAAACACAUGACCAAAUGAGGCACUGGAGUGAGAAUCUGUUUGAAGCAUGAACUAAUGCGUUCCUCCGUGAUGUAGUGUUGUGGGUUAGUCAGGCCAGUGUGUUGACUUCACUCUUCCUUUCUAGCCCCUGUCUUCCCAAAGUGAGAGGAGGAUGACGGAGGAGUGCUUGCUCGAUGCGCUUUCAUUGCAAGAGUACAGGGGGCCUUAAAGAAGGUCGAAGAGGAGGAGGAGGCGGGGGAGGAUGCAUGGGAGAGCUAGCGCUGUUGCCGUGUGAACGGAGCUCUAUUGUCCCAGGAACCUUUCAGUGGCUUCCCCGAGGUCCCUGUUUGUACCCCUUCCCCCACCCCAUACACUCUUUCUUCCUCACAAACACACACACUUUGUUCACCUCUUAAUGUUACCCACAACCUUUUCCUCUGGUUCACGCACACUCUGCCUCAUUCACUGUCUUUAUUCUGUCACUUAUCCCACGUGGUGUCUCUCUCAUGCCUGCACCCCUCUCUGCCUCUACUUUCCCCUCAUUUCUCACAAGCAGACGAGGCCUGUCCCUCCUCCUCCUCCUCCUCCUCCUCCUGCUCGCCUCAUUAUUUCGCCUCAUUGAUGUGAUUGUCAUCCCAGUCAGACAGUUAAAGCAAAAACAUGCAAUCUUCUCAUUUGCAUCACCGCCUCCUUCCAAUCCUCUGCUACGGGAAGUGUUACAUAAAUGUUUACAUGGGCCUCUAAAUCCAAGAACCUCAUCUGCUCCAACCAAGACUUAAUUGAACUGAUUGUUCGCAGCACCUUUUGUGGCUUUACAUGAUGGUGAAAUUUUACCCUUUUGUUUUCUCCUAUUGGCAUGAGUGUUUUGGAUUUGCAGGGGGUCGCUUGGAAAGAGAGCAGGGCCAGAUAAGGACUCGGCUGGUGGGAUUUGGCCUCUGUGAACAGAAGUGUCUCUUUUCUGUCUUUGACAGCUGUAAUGACACCAUCUGUAAUUACAGUAGUGUCCUGCUGAGACUCUGAUAGCACAGCAGUGCUUGACUUGCUCAGUCAAGAUGUUAACCCAGGAAAGGGGCUCUACAUUUCUGUUUGGUUAAUCUUUUUUUUGAGGAGGGAGGGUAAACAAGGAUUUUCAAAAGUCGUUGUUCCACCAAAUAAAAUGUCUAAGUUGUAUUUCUUGUACCUGUCAGCUAUUAUUAGCCCUCUGUCACGCAGCCAGAGCUCCCGUGUCCAUUCAGCCUGCUCACUUCUGAAGUGGUUUUCUUUUUUUGGCAUGGAUGCACGGUAAAAAGUCUGGAACUGUCAUUAAGAGUGAACCUUUUCUUUGUUGUGGAAUCUAAAACAAUAGUACGAGAAGGUUUUAGUUGAAAGAGGACGCACGCGAGUUCCCAUCUGUCUCCCUGUCCUGCUAAUGCCUGCUUCUCAAGCUGUAUUGUUCUAUCCAAGUGUUUUGGACAGGAAGGUGAGAUGAGACACAGGGAGGACCGGGAAACAGAGGCCAGGCUGAGAGCGCAAAAAAACAGGAAGCAGGAAGAAGCCCAGAUAAGAUGGCUGCCCUGAUGCAACCUGGGAUUUCUCCUGCUUUGAAUGAUUGUCUGUACAGCUUUUGAUCCAGCAAAGUCGAUCAAAGCUAAUGAGGGUUUAAUUUAGAUUGGGAGGUCAGGGAGCGUUCAGAGUUCAAGUUGUGAGGCUUUAAGUAUUUGCCUUUUUUUUGUGCAUUCAAAUUCCAGUUUGACUUCAAGUGUGCUUCGGUGUUUUCUGAGUAUUUUGAUGUUUGUGCGACCAUAUCCAUGUUUGUGUCAGGAUUCCAGCUGGGCCACUGACAGACCAGCCUGGGAUUAGCUGGCAUGCUGUAUCUUCCUAUCUCUAAUGCUUUAAUCUCUCUGCUGGUCGCCACCAGUCUUCUGGCUUUUGGACGCGGUUGGUCAACGCUGUCAGUUUUCUGGCCGACAGUUUGCCAA